CGUAGGUGAACCUGCGGAAGGAUCAU
rnacentral:ncRNA from 10 species